GACGUAGGGUGCGAGCGUUUGUCCGGAUUUAUUGGGCGUAAAGAGCUCGUAGGCGGUCUGUCGCGUCGGCUGUGAAAUCCCGAGGCUCAACCUCGGGUCUGCAGUCGAUACGGGCAAACUAGAGUAUUGCAGGGGAGACUGGAAUUCCUGGUGUAGCGGUGAAAAUGCGCAGAUAUCAGGAGGAACACCGGUGGCGAAGGCGGGUCUCUGGGCCGAUACUGACGCUGAGGAGCGAAAGCGUGGGGAGCGAACAGG
rnacentral:rRNA from 1 species